rnacentral:rRNA from 1 species
AAACCAACAGGGAUUGCCUUAGUAGCGGCGAGUGAAGCGGCAAAAGCUCAAAUUUGAAAUCUGGCACUUUCAGUGUCCGAGUUGUAAUUUGAAGAAGGUAUCUUUGGGUCUGGCUCUUGUCUAUGUUUCUUGGAACAGAACGUCACAGAGGGUGAGAAUCCCGUGCGAUGAGAUGUCCAGACCUAUGUAAAGUUCCUUCGAAGAGUCGAGUUGUUUGGGAAUGCAGCUCUAAGUGGGUGGUAAAUUCCAUCUAAAGCUAAAUAUUGGCGAGAGACCGAUAGCGAACAAGUACAGUGAUGGAAAGAUGAAAAGAACUUUGAAAAGAGAGUGAAAAAGUACGUGAAAUUGUUGAAAGGGAAGGGCUUGAGAUCAGACUUGGUAUUUUGUAUGUUACUCUCUCGGGGGUGGCCUCUACAGUUUACCGGGCCAGCAUCAGUUUGAGCGGUAGGAUAAGUGCAAAGAAAUGUGGCCUGCUUCGGUAGGUGUUAUAGUCUUUGUCGAUACUGCCAGCUUAGACUGAGGACUGCGGCUUCGGCCUAGGAUGUUGGCAUAAUGAUCUUAAGUCGCCCGUCUUGAAACACGGACCAUGCA